UCGAUCAAGAGAAAUGAAGUAAAACCCAAAGCAAAAAUUGAGAAAACUAGUUAUCAGAAUAAAACAGGAAAUGGACAACAAUAAUACAACCCAGAAUAGACACUGAUUGUCUGUUACUUUGUUCUAGGUGUGAAUUACUUCACAUUGAGCAACAAAACGGUCCCUCUCUUCAAUAACCAACAGUUUGUCAUCUGUGAUUACGACAAAGCAAAGACAAGCUGUACCUGCAACAGCGUGGAGGAGAACAUGAUAGCGAGAGGAGCCACCAGCUCAUACUGACACUGCUCCUGAACCUGAUCGCACGAACAGAUGAACACAAGAGAAGAGCGACAUAAAGCGGUCCUCUCACCUCUCGGGUCUUCCUGAUGAUCUGCUGUAAAAGGAUGAUGAAGUUGUCCGGAUCUCUCUUCACCAGCUCCUCCAGACUCCAUCGGUUCAUUGACUGUCCCACUGAGCACAUCAGCACUGCA